rnacentral:pre_miRNA from 1 species
GAGAAACCCUUCUGGGGCAAGACUUGCUUCAGUGGGGCUUUGGUGCUCACUGAGUCUGCCCUCUGAGUGUGUCCCU